GACGAAAGCUGGCGGCGUGCUUAACACAUGCAAGUCGAACGAUGAAGCUGGAGCUUGCUCCGGUGGAUUAGUGGCGAACGGGUGAGUAACACGUGAGUAAUCUGCCCUUGACUCUGGGAUAACUUCGGGAAACUGUAGCUAAUACCGGAUACGACACCUUCGGGCAUCCGAUGGGUGUGGAAAGAAGUUCGGUAAAGGAUGAACUCGCGGCCUAUCAGCUAGUUGGUGAGGUAAUGGCUCACCAAGGCGACGACGGGUAGCCGGCCUGAGAGGGUGACCGGCCACACUGGGACUGAGACACGGCCCAGACUCCUACGGGAGACAGCAGUGGGGAAUAUUGCACAAUGGGCGAAAGCCUGAUGCAGCAACGCCGCGUGAGGGAUGAAGGCCUUCGGGUUGUAAACCUCUUUUAGUUGGGAAGAAGCGAAAGUGACGGUACCAACAGAAAAAGCACCGGCUAACUACGUGCCAGCAGCCGCCGUAA
rnacentral:rRNA from 1 species